GAUAGCUCAGUUGGUAGAGGAUGAGACUCUUAAUGUCAGGGUUGUGGAUUCAAGCCUCAUGUGGCG